rnacentral:lncRNA from 1 species
UGUGACCAUAUACAUGAGUAUAUGUGAGUGGAAUAGAGGAGGUAGGCAUGUUUGGAGAGAUUGAAGGGAAGGAGGAGAUGGUUUGCCGUGGAAGCUGAGUUCUGGAUGAACUCAGGUUCGGCAGCCGAAGGAUCAUUCGGCCGCCGAACCUCCUGCAUGGUGACUUGGUUGCCACAGCUUGCCCCCGAGUGUUUUUGCAUGUUCGGCUCUGUUUGGGGGAUUCGGCCGCCGAAGGUGCCGCCGAAGGUGCUUGAGUUUCAUCUCUGGAGAGGACAUUCGGCCGCCGAACCUGCCGCCGAAAGUGUUCUGUCCAGCUUUUCUUUUGCAUGCUUUGCAUGGCUAGUUAAGUGAGUUUCAGGGGAUUCUUGGGGAGUUUAAUAGAGGUAUUGAUAAGUUAGUUUGGUCCCUCAUUUGAGUCUAUCUGUAUAGGUACAGACCAGAGGAACCAGAGAGAGCAGCAGUGAGUACUGCUCCAGAGUUUCAGAGCCUGCAGAGUCAGUCAGUCCAGAUAGCCGGAGGUGAGUGGAACUAAACUUAUGACUUUUAAUUGAACCACAAACUGCUUUUAGCAUAUCUCAUGCAUCAUGUUUAUGCCAUAGGGUGAUUGCAUUAGUAUCCACGAAUAUGUUGCAUUGCAUUGUUAUUU